AGUUGGCAUUAUUGUGUGUGGAACAGCAGCAGAGCUUACUAACAUUCUCAGCUACAAAACAAAAAAUAACGAACCAGAGACUUCAGCUCAGUUCUUGUGAUUGGAGUUGUGUUUCCUCCAGAGUGACGAGCAUGGUAUAAGACGCCUCGCCCUGCACCCCAUCACGGCUCUCCCCAGACAGCCCUGACAGAGGAUCUGUGGAAUGGGGAUAAUAAUAGGACCUAUCUGACAGGGUGGUUGGGAUCAUUGACUGAAAUAACACAUGAAAGAACUUAGCACAGUGCCUAGCAGGCAGACAGGGAGGAGUCUCAUUUUGCAUCAAGAGCUUUCCAUGGGUCAUGUUAUUUCACCCUGCACGAUGCUGUGUGGUCUCAUCACCACUGAACACACAAGACCCUGAGACUCUGAGAGGUAGACACUGCACUCUACAGCUGCGAUUCACACCUGGAUCUGCUGGCUCAAGGUCUGCACUCUUUCCACUGCACCACAGUAACCCACAUGAAUCAGCAAUGAAAAGGCAAGACGGAGUAAGGUAAUUUGGGUGGGGUUCAGGAAUCUUCAUUUAAGAAAAAUACCUCCAGUGACAGACAGAUGGCCAUCAACCACAAUUUGAGGAAAAAAAAGCCUCAAGUUCAUGCUAUUGAGCUCAACCUUUGGGAAAAAAUUCUUCUAUCCUGUGUGAAAGAAAAUGGUGUUUUUCUAAGUCCCAAGAAAACAUCCUAAAGGGAUGCAAGGAAGGAUUCGAUGGGCAUUCCUUCCAAGGCAUGAAAGGAGAGCGGAUGGCUGUGUCUUGUACUCAGCCGCCCUCCACAGAGCCUGUGGCAGACCCGGGAAUGUCCAUGUGUCUCAGAGCUGAAGUGAGGUGCAUAGGCCAAGUUCAAACCAGUGCCGCCUCCUUGCAGGGUGGUCAGAAAACACAUGGACAUUUGUCAAGAACUCUGGAGUAGCCCAUGUCUGUGGUUACACAAUGAAACAUUCUUCCCCAGCAGCAACCCCCAGAAGGCUUCCAAUAUUUCGCGCCCACACACUGAACAUGAAAUAGUGAUUCAUGGUAAGAGGAUGUGCAUAGAAAAAGCUUAGAAGUGACCCCUUCUUAUUUUGCAAAUAACAAAAGGAAACACUCCUUUAGAUCCCGUGUAAUUCAGAAGCCGAUUGGGUGGCGUGUGGGCUUUCAGAGAGAAUGAAGACAGACAUCUGGCAAGGACUUUUCUUGGUCAUAAUGACUUGCUUCUCAUUCUGCUUCCGAUGGCCUCCAAGAGGAUGCAGUUAUGGGGAGAAA